GAUGAACGCUAGCGGCAGGCUUAACACAUGCAAGUCGAGGGGUAUUGGUUUUCGGACCAAGAGACCGGCGCACGGGUGCGUAACGCGUAUGCAAUCUACCUUUUGCAGAGGGAUAGCCCAGAGAAAUUUGGAUUAAUACCUCAUAGUAUAGUACUUUGGCAUCAAGGAACUAUUAAAGUCACAACGGCAAAAGAUGAGCAUGCGUCCCAUUAGCUAGUUGGUAAGGUAACGGCUUACCAAGGCUACGAUGGGUAGGGGUCCUGAGAGGGAGAUCCCCCACACUGGUACUGAGACACGGACCAGACUCCUACGGGAGGCAGCAGUGAGGAAUAUUGGACAAUGGGGCGCAAGCCUGAUCCAGCCAUGCCGCGUGCAGGAUGACGGUCCUAUGGAUUGUAAACUGACUUUUAUACAGGAAGAAACACUCCGACGUGUCGGAGCUUGACGGUACUGUAAGAAUAAGGA
rnacentral:rRNA from 1 species